AUUGAACGCUAGCGGGAUGCUUUACACAUGCAAGUCGAACGAUUGGCGGACGGGUGAGUAAUAUAUCGGAACUUGCCCAGUAGCGGGGGAUAACUACUCGAAAGAGAGGCUAAUACCGCAUACUUUUGGAGCGGCCGAUAUCGGAUUAGCUAGUGGGUGGGGUAAAGGCUCACCAAGGCAACGACCCGUAGCUGGUUUGAUAGGACGACCAGCCACACUGGACCUGAGACACGGCCCAGACUCCGCAGGGAGGCAGCUGUUGGGAAUUUUGGACAAUGGGGGAAGCCUUGAUCCAGCCAUCCCGCGUGUUUGAGAGGGCCUUCGGGUUUUAAAGUACUUUUGGCAGAGAAGCGGUAUCUGCAGAAUAAGCACCGGCUAACUACGUGCCAGCCGCCGCGGUAAUAC
rnacentral:rRNA from 1 species